GACGAACGCUGGCGGCGUGCUUAACACAUGCAAGUCGAGCGGUAAGGCCCUUUCGGGGGUACACGAGCGGCGAACGGGUGAGUAACACGUGGGUGACCUGCCCUCAGCUCUGGGAUAAGCCUGGGAAACCGGGUCUAAUACUGGAUAUGACUCCAUGACGCAUGUUGUGGGGUGGAAAGCCUUGUGCGGCUGAGGAUGGGCCCGCGGCCUAUCAGCUUGUUGGUGGGGUGANGGCCUACCAAGGCGACGACGGGUAGCCGGCCUGAGAGGGCGACCGGCCACACUGGGACUGAGACACGGCCAGACUCUACGGGAGGCAGCAGUGGGAAUCUUGCGCAAUGGGCAAAGCCUGACGCAGCGACGCCGCGUGAGGGAUGACGGCCU
rnacentral:rRNA from 1 species